ensembl:lncRNA
CAAGAGGUUUAGGGGUUGAAUCUUCUUGGUUGUGCCCCUUUGAUAGUUGUGGAUAAUGAAUUUCUGGAGUUAUACAUGCCCGUGACCCAAGUGCUGUUUUUGGACCUAUGUGCUCAGUUCUAAACAGAGGGUCCAAAAAUACUGGCAAGGAUCUAAGCUGUUUAAGCAAGACAGCAGACUACGGGGAGAAGAGAGCGAGAGCUGCCAAAUCUGCUCAGAAGUCCAAUGAGCCUGUCUGUGCUGUGUCUGCUAAGACUUACCUGGAUAGCCACAUACUGUCUGAUGUUUAGACAUUCUCAAAGAACUACAUCUGGACAGCAGGGCUGGAAUGUUUCUGGUCAGCAGCCAGCAUGAAAGCGCUAUGGAUGGAGCUGUGCCAGCAGCAGAGGUGCUACAAGUUGCUACCAGAAAACUCAACUAUGUCUGUGAGCUCAGAAAGCACUACAGAUGGUCUCUGUUUUGGGAACUGUAACCUCAAGUGUAAUGUGUGCUAGCUGAUCUCGAGCAAUCUUAUUGCUUAUGGCUGUGAAUGAAGAACAACGUGCUUUCAAAUCCCACACAAACCACGGUGUGUACUAACUCUCAAGAGCCAUCUGCAAGAUCCAGAGCCUUGGACUUGGCAGUGGAGCCUCCUGUGAAUAACUGGUCCAAGCCAGGAGUGGAGAUGACUGACAAAUCAAAACAGGAAAGAGAAAUGGUUCCUUCUGCGAGGAAUUAGCAAGUAAGCCAAGGGCAAGCAAGCAGUUACAAAACAGAGACAAAUAUUCCCAGGAUUCAUUUUUGACUCUGUCCUAUUGAAGAUACAGGUAAAGUUCUCACUACUUUCAGCAAGAGGCAGAUAAAUGUUUGGAAAAUACAGUCCUCCAUACCCUCUUUCUGAGCUUCUUGGUUACCAAGGUCAUUUUAUCCAUUUAUGCUGAGGCAGCUUUGGACUCCUUGUCCUUUUCUUUGUGUAGUAAAAGAAACAGCAGCAAAUGUCCAGGUGCCGUGCUUGGAGGUAUGCUCACAUUUUUUAAUGAAGGGAAAUAAUCCUGACGAAUGAAAUAAGACAAACAUACUUUCUGAAGUGCAAUUAAUAUGAUUCAAACGACUUCCACAGAGCUGGUGGUCUUAGAUACAGCCUAACAAUGGUAGAACCUGCAUGGUUUAAUUACUCAAAGAAAUCUUGGCUGCUGUUCCAAGUAUUUUCACUUGUAGUGAGCUACCCCUUCAUCAGAUUCAUAUUCCAAGAGGAUAAGAAAAUACAAUUUUCCUUCCCUUUCCAUUUUCUCAGGUUUAGACUUUCUACCAAAAGGGUUUAUAUUAAGUGAAGUGCCAUACUGCUGCAGGAGCAUAGCCUGCAAACUAUAUUCUGAGAAGGCAGAGUAAGUAUAGAGUUAGUGAUUUAACAGUUUUGAAACCAAGGGUGAAAUCCCACUUUCCACUGAAAUAUAUAAGACAGGGCCAGGAGCCAGAAUAUACUUGGGAGGAUAUGGUUAGUAUAUCAUAACAUACAAGGGGGAGCCAGAAAGGGGCACGUGCAUUGCCUUUUUUCUAAGUGGUGUGUGUGCCUUUGAAUAUGCUUGCCUUAAAUUUUUGGGAAAACGCGGUGCAAGAUUAUCUUAGAGGUCUUUUCCAACCUUAAUAUUCUGUGUGAUUCUGAGGGGCCACACACUUCAGCUAUUCUUCUCUGGUCAGCCAUUGUGCUGCCACCUGCAGCACCUAAUUCUGCAGAUCCAUCUUUCCAUUACACAUGGGAGGGGUAAGAGAGGCAAACUGUGCUUCAGACACACUCCUUCUACUCCAAAAGCUGCUAACUCAGAGCAAGCAGAGUGCAUUGCAGCCAUUUAACCUGCAGAGGUGUCUGGCAAGUGAGUUACUCUUGUAGAGGGUGGGUUUUCCUGCCCCAUCUUCCAAACAGCUCUCAGUCUCCAUUGUUACCCUCUAAAUUAUCAAUUCAAACAGUUCUCCCAGCAAUUGGUUUGGCUUGGUUGAACCUUCUUAAAAGUCCACAAAGCUUUUUAAACAUCUCCAAAUCUGCCCACUGCAAAACAUGAACUUUCAUUCCAUUAAUUCAGUGGGGCUACAGCAACAGAAGGAACCUGUUUGUAAGAGUAAAUGCGAUGUUCAGUCUGCACACCUGCAGCAAGGCCAAGGUUUUCUAAUCUGAGGCAACCGAGAUGGAAGAGACUAUUUUGUAAACCUUUGUGAACUCACAAACUUUAUUCAGUUCAGCUUCUUUUCAUUAAAACUAAUCAUAGGUCUGUCUUCUUGACCGUAGACCUGGAAGUAGGUGCACAGCAUUCCUGUAGAUGUGUGCAUUUUGGUUUGAGGGUCUCAGCAAACAAAAGUGCUGGGCUAAGAUUUAUCAAGGUGCCUCUUUGUCGCCCUUGCAGAAGGCCUCAUAAGGCCACAAGUCAUCUCAAAUGCCAGGUCCUAAGCCACGCUAUCCUACAUAAAAGUCAUAAAUUGUAGGAGGAGGUACAAAUUCCCUAUCAAUAUUCUGCACAGACCUCAGGCACAGGGAGAAUAACGCAGUGUUAGGAUUACUGAAUGAGUGCUCUGUGUGCACUAAGUCAUUAAAAACCUGCGGAACAGUCAACCAUGACUGCACAAAAAUAAAUACAGAGCUGGCCGUAAAUAUUAUCCCUUC